rnacentral:rRNA from 1 species
UACGUAGGGUGCGAGCGUUUGUCCCGGAAUUAUUGGGCGUAAAGGGCUCGUAGGCGGUUUGUCGCGUCGGGAGUGAAAUCCACUGGCUUAACUGGUGGCUUGGCUUUCGAUACUGCCGUGACUAGAGGUCGGUAGGGGAGUGUGGAAUCCUGGUGGAGCGGUGAAAUGCGCAGAUAUCAGGAGGAACACCCGUAGCGAAGGCGGCACUCUGGGCCGAUACUGACACUGAGGAGCGAAAGCGUGGGGAGCGAACAGG